UUUUAACUUAUUUAUAUAGAUUAAUAAGUCUCAUUGAGAAAUUAAACGAAAUAAAAGCGAAUUAACGCUUCUCUAUGGAUUGUGUGUGUGUUAGUAAGUGUGUGUGUGUGUGUGUGUGUGU